rnacentral:rRNA from 1 species
AUUGAACGCUGGCGGCAUGCCUUACACAUGCAAGUCGAACGGUAACGGGCCUUCGGGUGCCGACGAGUGGCGAACGGGUGAGUAAUACAUCGGAACGUGCCCGAUCGUGGGGGAUAACGAGGCGAAAGCUUUGCUAAUACCGCAUACGAUCUACGGAUGAAAGCAGGGGACCGCAAGGCCUUGCGCGGGCGGAGCGGCCGAGGGCAGAUUAGGUAGUUGGUGGGAUAAAAGCUUACCAAGCCGACGAUCUGUAGCUGUGCUGAGAGGAUGAUCAGCCACACUGGGACUGAGACACGGCCCAGACUCCUACGGGAGGCAGCAGUGGGGAAUUUUGGACAAUGGGCGCAAGCCUGAUCCAGCCAUGCCGCGUGCAGGAUGAAGGCCUUCGGGUUGUAAACUGCUUUUGUACGGAACGAAAAGCCUUCUUUUAAUACAGGAGGGUCAUGACGGUACCGUAAGAAUAAGCACCGGCUAACUACGUG